rnacentral:rRNA from 1 species
UUGAACGCUGGCGGCAUGCCUUACACAUGCAAGUCGAACGGUAGAGGGGCAACCCUUGAGAGUGGCGAACGGGUGAGUAAUAUAUCGGAACGUGCCCAGUCGUGGGGGAUAACGCAGCGAAAGCUGCGCUAAUACCGCAUACGAUCUAUGGAUGAAAGCGGGGGAUCGCAAGACCUCGCGCGAUUGGAGCGGCCGAUAUCAGAUUAGGUAGUUGGUGGGGUAAAAGGCCCACCAAGCCGACGAUCUGUAGCUG